UACGGAGGGGACUAGCGUUGUUCGGAAUUACUGGGCGUAAAGCGCGCGCAGGCGGCUAUCCAAGUCAGUGGUGAAAGCCCGGAGCUCAACUCCGGAACUGCCAUUGAAACUGUUUAGCUUGAGGACGAGAGAGGUGAGUGGAAUUCCCAGUGUAGAGGUGAAAUUCGUAGAUAUUAGGAAGAACACCGGUGGCGAAGGCAGAUCUCUGGGCCGUAACUGACGCUGAGGAGCGAAAGCAUGGGGAGCGAACAGG
rnacentral:rRNA from 1 species